AGAGAGGUAGCUCUCUCCUGCUCCUGUCUGCAGAUGGUAAAGGGCUACUUGUAUGGUGAAAAGGUGGUGGGAGAACAACCUGUAAAUAAACUGCACCAGUGGUUACUGAACCCAGGGUCUCCAUGUAACUUUAUCAGCUCAACAGGGGCAGGAACCAAGAGGGCCCUUUAGCACCUUGUUACAUGUGGGGGCUUGUCAGGGAUAUCUUUGCCCGAGCAAGAGUUUGGCAGCCUAGAGAUGGAGGAGAUCCUGCAGUGGUUGGUAAAGCAGCAAGAAGAGGUGCAAAAGGCUAUGCAAUCCUUUCAGUAGUCCCACCAGCUGGAGAGGCAAGCCUUGCUCAACUAGCAAGCCAAGCAGUAGAAGAGCCUUCAGGACUUUAUACACGAGCAGGCCAGCAUACAACAGCAGCUUCUCCAGAAGAUGGAAACAGUGAACCUGCUGAAGGGGAAAAUUAUAUAAAUGUGCACACAUGCUAAUGGAGCUCCAAGCAGAUUUUAAUGCUCUGAGGAAGUCACUGAAGAGUCUAGAGCAGAAUUACCUUCAGCACCCAGCAAGGGGGUAGUACAGUGUGAGGCAUCUUCACCUGCCUCCUCAGCAGCAGCUGCUACCAUCCCAGGAACCCUACAGUGGAGAGAAGAGAUUAUCUGUUUUUUGUUUUUUUUCCAGGCUGUUUUCUUAAGUUUAUUUUUGUUCACACAUGGGUCUCUCAGCAUAUAAAAAAAAGAAAUUGCUGUCCCCUGAAUUCAGCGCUGUUCCUCAGUACAUCUGAACCAUCCCAGAGGAGCUCACAGAUUUCCAGGAAAUGUGCUAAAUUUCACAAAUAGGAUUUUCUUCUGCAUUCUGAAUUGAUUCACUAUUGUACUGUUACACAUCAGUUAACCCCAGCAGCACU